rnacentral:rRNA from 1 species
UACGAAGGGGGCUAGCGUUGCUCGGAAUCACUGGGCGUAAAGGGUGCGUAGGCGGGUCUUUUAAGUCAGGGGUGAAAUCCUGGAGCUCAACUCCAGAACUGCCUUUGAUACUGAGGAUCUUGAGUCCGGGAGAGGUGAGUGGAACUGCGAGUGUAGAGGUGAAAUUCGUAGAUAUUCGCAAGAACACCAGUGGCGAAGGCGGCUCACUGGCCCGGUACUGACGCUGAGGCACAAAAGCGUGGGGAGCAAACAGG